rnacentral:rRNA from 1 species
AACGAACGCUGGCGGCGUGCCUAACACAUGCAAGUCGAGCGCGAAAGUCCCUUCGGGGGCUAGUAGAGCGGCGGACGGGUGAGUAAUACGUGGGUAAUCUAUCCUCGAGCCCGGGAUAACCCUGCGAAAGCGGAGCUAAUACCGGAUAAGACCACAUAGCAUAAGCUGUGUGGUAGAAGGUGGCUUGUAUUUAUACUUGCUAUCACUUGAGGCUGAGCCCAUGGCCUAUCAGCUUGUUGGUGAGGUAAAAGCUCACCAAGGCUAUGACGGGUAGCUGGUCUAAGAGGACGACCAGCCACACUGGGACUGAGACACGGCCCAGACUCCUACGGGAGGCAGCAGUGGGGAAUAUUGGGCAAUGGGCGAAAGCCUGACCCAGCGACGCCGCGUG